rnacentral:rRNA from 1 species
GACGAACGCUGGCGGCGUGCUUAACACAUGCAAGUCGAACGGAAAGGCCCUGCUUUUGUGGGGUGCUCGAGUGGCGAACGGGUGAGUAACACGUGUGUAACCUGCCCUUGACUUUGGGAUAACUUCAGGAAACUGGGGCUAAUACCGGAUAGGAGCUCCUGCUGCAUGGUGGGGGUUGGAAAGUUUCGGCGGUUGGGGAUGGACUCGCGGCUUAUCAGCUUGUUGGUGGGGUAGUGGCUUACCAAGGCUUUGACGGGUAGCCGGCCUGAGAGGGUGACCGGCCACAUUGGGACUGAGAUACGGCCCAGACUCCUACGGGAGGCAGCAGUGGGGAAUAUUGCACAAUGGGCGGAAGCCUGAUGCAGCAACGCCGCGUGCGGGAUGACGGCCUUCUGGUUGUAAACCGCUUUCGCCUGUGACGAAGCGUGAGUGACGGUAAUGGGUAAAGAAGCACCGGCUAACUACGUG